AUGAACGCUGGCGGCGUGCCUAAUACAUGCAAGUCGAGCGAACGGACGAGAAGCUUGCUUCUCUGAUGUUAGCGGCGGACGGGUGAGUAACACGUGGAUAACCUACCUAUAAGACUGGGAUAACUUCGGGAAACCGGAGCUAAUACCGGAUAAUAUUUUGAACCGCAUGGUUCAAAAGUAAAAGACGGUCUUGCUGUCACUUAUAGAUGGAUCCGCGCUGCAUUAGCUAGUUGGUAAGGUAACGGCUUACCAAGGCAACGAUGCAUAGCCGACCUGAGAGGGUGAUCGGCCACACUGGAACUGAGACACGGUCCAGACUCCUACGGGAGGCAGCAGUAGGGAAUCUUGCGCAAUGGGCGAAAGCCUGACGGAGCAACGCCGCGUGAGUGAUGAAGGUCUUCGGAUCGUAAAACUCUGUUAUUAGGGAAGAACAUAUGUGUAAGUAACUGUGCACAUCUUGACGGUACCUAAUCAGAAAGCCACGGCUAACUACGUG
rnacentral:rRNA from 1 species